CCUACGGGAGGCAGCAGUAGGGAAUCUUCCGCAAUGGGCGAAAGCCUGACGCAGAGACGCCGCGUGAGUGAUGAAGGCCUUCGGGUUGUAAAGCUCUGUGGGGAGAGAAGAAUAAGUCUAGGCUAAUACUCUGGAUGAUGACGGUAUCUCCUUAGCAAGCACCGGCUAACUCUGUG
rnacentral:rRNA from 1 species